UUGCAAAAACUGCUUGGCCAACUCCCAAAUAAAUUACAUAUUUCAAAUCAGCAACAAAAUCUGACAUUAACCGUCCCAUAAAUGUUGUUUCUUAUGCUAAAAUAGCAUUUAAAAAGCUUAUUUUUCAGGCUAGACAAGCUAAUGCGCAUGUGCACGAGUCUCAGGAACCGGAGCCUCUAACAGCAGCUACAGUGACGCAAUGACUUUAUCAAUCUGCGAUUGGCUCUUUUACUUAGAAAGCGGGACAAAUUCCGCCAUUUUGUGCGUUGCAGUUUCUCCCGUUCAUAUCUAAAUCGUCUUUCAACAGUCUUCGACCCAAUUCUCCAUUGCGCUAAAUGAAAAAGAGCAGCCUGAGCCCUGGAAAUUCUGCUAUAUACAUUCUUCAAAAGACAUGCACUGAUGCUCAACACCCUGGACCAGACCAGACAGACCCAAGGGCUCGUCAUGACCUCAUCUCACACAGAUUUACCCCCACAUACCCCGUGGCUUUCCUGUGACCUCGGAUCUAACAAGCCAACCAACUAGGCCAAUCUCAUCUCCAAGCAUCCCAGGAAAACCAGGCCUUAUUGAUGUUUUCCACCAUGUUAGUACAAGCACAUCGGUUUCACUCGCCUUUCUGCACUGAGUUGAAUGUAAUCACUUAUAAUAUAUCUUGACCUUGGAAAAUUAUUCACAGCAAAAAUAAAGUUGCAUUUGAAUUCAACUGAACUUGCUGUGAUUAAUGUGCCCAUAUCUCUUAAACAAACUUUACAAGUCGAUGGAGCAUGGCAGUAUUGUAUUGCAUUCAUCUGAUCUCUCCAAACAGCGUUUGACCCUGAGAGAUCAAUUUCUAUUACUGCAGCCCUGAAUAUCUUUUUAAAGGGUUAGUUCACCAAAAAAAAAAAGAA